UGUGAUAAUGACCUUGGUGAUGGAAGUGGUGGUUCUAAAGCCGGUGCAGAUGUACCAGGUGGUUCAGGUGUUAAUCUUGGGGAAUCAGCCUCCAUACGGCCAAGAUCAACCAGGAAAAGAAAACCGGUUGUUAAGAGCAUCUACGGCCUAUAAAAGGUGUAGGCUCAAAGGAAAAGAACUAGAUGGUGCAUGGCACACUUCAGUGGAUGUGCUGUUAGCUUUCAGUGGACUCCUUUAUUUUGUAAUGAUGCAUUUGAGACUACUUACUUAUCAAACGGACUGUAAUGUUUGCUAGCUAUCUAAUGGACUGUAAUAUGUGCUGUCGAGUCUAGUGGACCUUAUUAUAUUGCUAUAGAAUGGACUGUAAUAUGUGGGACUUGGCGAUGAUUUAAUUAUGUUCGGUGUGGAACCUAUCUAAUGCAUUCAUAAUGUUUUUCUUGUUUUUA